rnacentral:rRNA from 1 species
UUGCGAGGCAGCUUACUUACAUGUACUGACCGCUGAGGGACGAAAGCGUGGGAGCGAACAGAUUAGAUACCUUGGUAGUCCACGCCGUAAACCGAUCAUCACUCGCUGUUGGCGAUAUACAGUCAGCGGCCAAGCGAAAGUAUUAAGUGAUGCACCUGGGGAGUACGCCGGCACCGGUGAAACUCAAAGGAAUUGACGGGGGCCCGCACAAGCGGUGGAGCAUGUGGUUUAAUUCGAUGAUACGCGAGGAACCUUACCAGGGCUUAAAUGUAGUUUGACCGGUCUGGAAACAGACUUUCUCUUCGGAGCAGAUUACAAGGUGCUGCAUGGUUGUCGUCAGCUCGUGCCGUGAGGUGUUAGGUUAAGUCCUGCAACGAGCGCAACCCCUAUUCUUAGUUGCCAGCGGUUCGGCCGGGGACUCUAAGAAGACUGCCAGCGCAAGCUGAGAGGAAGGUGGGGAUGACGUCAAAUCAUCAUGCCCCUUAUGUCUUGGGCUUCACGCAUGCUACAAUGGCCGGUACAGAGGGCAGCAAUACCGCAAGGUGGAGCGAAUCCCAGAAAGCCGGUCUCAGUUCGGAUUGAGGUCUGCAACUCGACCUCAUGAAGUCGGAGUCGCUAGUAAUCGCGAAUCAGCAAUGACGCGGUGAAUACGUUCCCGGGCCUUGUACACACCGCCCGUCAAGCCAUGGAAGUUGGGGGUACCUGAAGUCCGUCACCGAAAGGAGCGGCCUAGGGUAAAACCGAUAACUAGGGCUAAGUCGUAACAAGGUAAC